GUGGCAGUUAUGUUGGCAACGGUGGAGCACCCCCGGGCUUUACCUCCCCCGAGGACAUUGCCCGGUGGGUUGGUAACAAUCUGCAGAGACUUGCACAGAAUGUUGGACGUUAGACUGAAUGACACCAUCUCCACCUAUCGGCCAUUAGAUGCGCUGGAUCGGGAAGGUUCCAGAUUGACGAAGUUGUUCUAAGGACAAAUGGCAGUACCUCAAUAAUUUUUCAUAAAAUCACAUCUUCCUGUUUUUAUUGCAUCUGAAAAAAUGUCUGUAACCCGUUAACAUCAUCAGCUUUACUUAUUAUAUUUGCUAUUGGAUAUAGAGAGCCAUUAAUAGGUUCUGAACGUAAUUCAUGCUAACAGAGGUUGAAGUAAAGGAUUUUGAAAUCUCAGCCUGUUUCGGGUAUAUACAAUGCUGUAAAUAAAAACUGCGCAUA